rnacentral:rRNA from 1 species
UACGUAGGUGGCGAGCGUUAUCCGGAAUGAUUGGGCGUAAAGGGAACGCAGGCGGUCUUUUAAGUCUGAUGUGAAAGCCUUCGGCUUAACCGGAGUAGUGCAUUGGAAACUGGGAGACUUGAGUGCAGAAGAGGAGAGUGGAACUCCAUGUGUAGCGGUGAAAUGCGUAGAUAUAUGGAAGAACACCAGUGGCGAAAGCGGCUCUCUGGUCUGUAACUGACGCUGAGGUUCGAAAGCGUGGGGAGCAAACAGG